ACUUGUUGUGAUAUCUAGCUGCAGACUAGAUAAUCUCUGCAGGCAACUGUGAAGUAUUUUCACAAUCUCACAAUAGCCUACAGAGAUUCUGUAGUCUGUUGCCUCUACUAACAACUUCUCA
rnacentral:pre_miRNA from 17 species